rnacentral:rRNA from 2 species
GAAACUUGCCCCGAGAUGAGUUCUCCCUGAGACUUUAGGUCUCCUGAAGGAACGUUGAAGACGACGACGUUGAUAGGCCGGGUGUGUAAGCGCAGCGAUGCGUUGAGCUAACCGGUACUAAUGAACCGUGAGGCUUAACCUUACAACGCCGAAG